UCCUACGGGGGGCAGCAGUGAGGAAUAUUGGUCAAUGGCCGAGAGGCUGAACCAGCCAAGUCGCGUGAGGGAUGACGGCCCUACGGGUUGUAAACCUCUUUUGUCGGGGAGCAAGACCCGCCUCGUGCAGGCGGAGCGAGAGUACCCGAAGAAAAAGCAUCGGCUAACUCCGUGCCAGCAGCCGCGGUAAUACGGAGGAUGCGAGCGUUAUCCGGAUUUAUUGGGGUUAAAGGGUGCGCAGGCGGAACCUCAAGUCAGCGGUAAAAUCGGGGGCCCAACCCAAUCCAGCCGUUGAAACUGGCGGG
rnacentral:rRNA from 1 species